rnacentral:lncRNA from 1 species
UCAAUUUUCUAGUGAUGCUGCAAACUCUACCAUAGACAGGAUUUAAGUGGAAAACGUUGUUUUUAGCAUUGCGUUAAUCAGAAUUUUUCUUGAAGGGUUGGGCAUCAAAGAAAUAAGACUGGAGACAGAAGCCAAAGUCUUGUCCACACACAGAUGUCCAACGUUGCUGAUGCUGAACAGGUACUUGUCGUGAAUGUUUAACAUGAAGCGAUUGUAAGUAUAGGCAGGGCUCUUCAAAAGUUCCCAUUUGCCCCAAGUUUAGCAAAUGGAAAUUAAAUGUCAGUUGAAUGUGCGUGAAGCUAGAUUUCUUAUGUUAAAAGUUACAAUUUAUUUUUAAUGAUUGCUCGUCUCCUGAUUUCUGAAGGGCAAUCUUGUGUUCGUCUUCUGCCAGUUGGGAGAGAAGCAAAUAUGAAACACUAAACUUUCAAAAAAGAUCACCCGUAAAAGAUCUUUCAGGAUGGAUGUCCAUUCCACCCUUUUCCAUGGCCAUGUGGAUCUGCUUCUAUUAUAUUUUGUUACUUCUCUUCAUGAUCCAGGGAAGACAUGCCAGAAAAAAAGAGUUGUUGGAGUUAAUGGGUGGAUACGAGCUCUCUGUUCCUCAGAAACCAUGUCCUCACCACCCACUGAACCCUCCCAGGGACUUGGAUUUUAUUAUUUUGCUUUUCCAUCCAAGCAGACUUUGAGCUCUCACACUUACAUCACUGACACUAGGCACCUGUGACACUAGAAACAGCCAACCUCUGGAACAAGAAAGCAACCAGCACAUGUACUUGUCCAUAAUGAAGGGCCUAUUGCUGCUGAAUCUAAUAAUUCACGGUAUGGAACCAAAUGUUUGUAUCGGUGUGAAGUUUUCC